UGGGGAAUAUUGGACAAUGGGCGAAAGCCUGAUCCAGCAAUGCCGCGUGUGUGAAGAAGGCCUUCGGGUUGUAAAGCACUUUCGGUGGGGAAGAAAAGCUUAAAGCUAAUAUCUUUAAGAAUUGACGUUACCCACAGAAGAAGCACUGGCUAACUCUGUGCCAGCAGCCGCGGUAAUACAGAGAGUGCAAGCGUUAAUCGGAAUUACUGGGCGUAAAGCGCGCGUAGGCGGAUAUUUAAGUCGAAUGUGAAAGCCCUGGGCUUAACCUAGGAAUUGCAUCCGAUACUGGAUAUCUAGAGUAUGGUAGAGGGAAGUGGAAUUUCCGGUGUAGCGGUGAAAUGCGUAGAUAUCGGAAGGAACACCAGUGGCGAAGGCGGCUUCCUGGACCAAUACUGACGCUGAGGCGCGAAAGCGUGGGGAGCAAACAGGAUUAGAUACCCGCGUAGUCC
rnacentral:rRNA from 1 species